rnacentral:rRNA from 1 species
UACAGAGGCCCCAAGCAUUAUCCGGAAUCACUGGGCGUAAAGGGUGUCAAGGCGGUCAUGUUAGUCGUUCGUAAAAUCCGUGGGCUCAACCUACGGCUCGCGAGCGAAACGGCAUGACUAGAGGUUGGAAGAGGUGCGUGGAACUCACGGUGUAGGGGUGAAAUCCGUUGAUAUCGUGGGGAACACCAAAGGCGAAGGCAGCGCACUGGUCCAAAUCUGACGCUCACACACGAAAGCCAGGGUAGCGAACGGG